AAAUCUUAAAAAACGUUUAAUAAUAAAUAAGACUAUAGAAAUGGAGAGAGUUACCAUUUUGCACAAUUCUUCUUGUAAAUAAGUUACGACAAUUAAUAAAUUUGUUAAAACUUACCGACACUGUCACCGUCGACGAGCACUCGUCCGUCUUUCGCUUUGUUGGGAUUGUAAUGGUAAGAACCCCGUUCUCGAACUGGGCGUCAAUGCGUUGCAUAUCAUAAUUUUCUGUUUUAAUAAAAACUGAUUGCUCAACUCUGGUCGAUUUCUCAUCAGUGACUGGUCGAUCUCCAAGAACCUUAAUACCAUGCUUAUACUUCCGGAUGCUCAGUUGGUCCCUCUGAAAACCAGGAAGAUGUACACGAUAUAGAGCGGCCCCAUUUGCUUCCUUCAAUUCCAAGUUGGGCGCAUAUGUUUUUGUUCGUGUAUUAGAAAUUGCUGUAGAAGAGGAAGCUUUCUUUAACCUUUUGUCGUUGAUCAGAACAUCCAACUGGCUUUCAUCAGACAAGCACCUCAAGUGAAUAUUUAUGUAUAAAUCAUGGCGCUGAUAAAAAAGUUGGCCGAAAUCUAUUUUUCCGUUGCAGAUAUCACAGUGAUUUUUGCUUGCAG
rnacentral:misc_RNA from 1 species